GACGAACCGUGCGAACGUUGUUCGGAAUCACUGGGCUUAAAGGGCGCGUAGGCGGGUUCUCAAGUCUGGAGUGAAAGCCCACGGCUCAACCGUGGAAGCGCUUCGGAUACUGGGGAUCUCGAGGGAGGUAGGGGCGUGCGGAACUUCCGGUGGAGCGGUGAAAUGCGUAGAUAUCGGAAGGAACACCGGUGGCGAAAGCGGCGCGCUGGACCUCUUCUGACGCUGAGGCGCGAAAGCCAGGGGAGCAAACGGG
rnacentral:rRNA from 1 species